ACCAGCUCACGGUUCAUAAAAGAGAUAUUGUAUUUAUAAUCUAGUUUUUCAACGCGCUGUAUUUAGAGAGAGAGACGUCUUGUGGCAUCAUGAUGAAGAAGGUUGCAGUGCUCAUCUUGUUUGCGUCUGUGCUGUGUUUACUGGCAGUGUUGACUGACGGCUGUGCGACUGUCCACUGUAAGAGCACAGACGAUGACUUCCACUGCCUUAACAGAACGGAAUGUUCCGGAUGCUCUUUCGGAGCUCACUGUGUCCACCUCGGCGGGGGCCACCAUCGCUGUGACUGUCUAAACCCCGACGUCUAACACGACCCAGAUGUCCGAGUCCAUGCAGUAAGUCACUGAGAAACCUUCUUGUGGUGUAUUGUUGGACGCUGGAAAAUGAGUGCAAUAAUAUCUGUUCAAAGAA